rnacentral:rRNA from 1 species
UACGUAGGUGGCAAGCGUUGUCCGGAUUUAUUGGGUUUAAAGGGUGCGUAGGCGGCUUUGUAAGUCAGUGGUGAAAUACUCUAGCUUAACUAGAGGGGUGCCAUUGAUACUGCGGAGCUUGAGUACAGAUGAGGUAGGCGGAAUUGACGGUGUAGCGGUGAAAUGCGUAGAUAUCGUUUGGAACGCCAAUGGUGAAAACAGGUCGCUGGGGAUGCGCUGACGCUGAGACACGAAAGCCAGGGGAGCAAACGGG